rnacentral:rRNA from 1 species
UACGUAGGGUGCAAGCGUUAAUCGGAAUUACUGGGCGUAAAGCGUGCGCAGGCGGUGAUGUAAGACAGAUGUGAAAUCCCCGGGCUCAACCUGGGAACUGCAUUUGUGACUGCAUCGCUGGAGUGCGGCAGAGGGGGAUGGAAUUCCGCGUGUAGCAGUGAAAUGCGUAGAGAUCGGCAGGAACACCCAGGGGGAAACCAGCCGACUGGGCAUCUACUGACGCUGAGGUGCGAGAGCGUGGGGAGCGAACCGG